rnacentral:rRNA from 1 species
GCAGGCUUAACACAUGCAAGUCGAGGGGUAUAGGUUUUCGGACCUAGAGACCGGCGCACGGGUGCGUAACGCGUAUGCAAUCUACCUUUUACAGAGGGAUAGCCCAGAGAAAUUUGGAUUAAUACCUCAUAGUAUUAUUGAAUGGCAUCAUUUAAUAAUUAAAGUCACAACGGUAAAAGAUGAGCAUGCGUCCCAUUAGCUUGUUGGUAAGGUAACGGCUUACCAAGGCAACGAUGGGUAGGGGUCCUGAGAGGGAGAUCCCCCACACUGGUACUGAGACACGGACCAGACUCCUACGGGAGGCAGCAGUGAGGAAUAUUGGUCAAUGGGCGCAAGCCUGAACCAGCCAUGCCGCGUGCAGGAUGAAGCAUCUAUGGUGUGUAAACUGCUUUUGUACGAGAAGAAACACUCCUUCGUGAAGGAGCUUGACGGUAUCGUAAGAAUAAGGACCGGCUAACUCCGUGCCAGCAGCCGCGGUAAUACGGAGGGUCCAAGCGUUAUCCGGAAUCAUUGGGUUUAAAGGGUCCGUAGGCGGUUUUGUAAGUCAGUGGUGAAAGCCCAUCGCUCAACGGUGGAACGGCCAUUGAUACUGCAAGACU